rnacentral:rRNA from 1 species
UACAGAGGGGGCAAGCGUUAUUCGGAAUUAUUGGGCGUAAAGGGCGCGUAGGCGGCCUGGCAAGUGGAAGGUGAAAUCCCUCGGCUUAACCGAGGAACUGCCUUCCAAACUGCUUGGCUUGAGUCCGGGAGAGGUGAGUGGAAUUCCCAGUGUAGCGGUGAAAUGCGUAGAUAUUGGGAGGAACACCAGUGGCGAAGGCGGCUCACUGGACCGGAACUGACGCUGAUGCGCGAAAGCGUGGGGAGCAAACGGG